AACGAACGCUGGCGGCAGGCCUAACACAUGCAAGUCGAACGGACGUAGCAAUACGUUAGUGGCGCACGGGAGAGUAACGCGUGGGAACCUACCUUUUGGUUCGGGAUAACAUCGGGAAACUGGUGCUAAUACCGGAUAAGCCCUUCGGGGGAAAGAUUUAUUGCCGAAAGAUGGGCCCGCGUUGGAUUAGCUAGUUGGUGAGGUAAUGGCUCACCAAGGCAACGAUCCAUAGCUGGUCUGAGAGGAUGAUCAGCCUCACUGGGACUGAGACACGGCCCAGACUCCUACGGGAGGCAGCAGUGGGGAAUAUUGGACAAUGGGGAAACCCUGAUCCAGCCAUGCCGCGUGAAUGAUGAAGGCCUUCGGGUUGUAAAGUUCUUUUGGUGGGGACGAUGAUGACGGUACCCACAGAAUAAGCUCCGGCUAACUUCGUGCCAGCCGCCGCCGUAA
rnacentral:rRNA from 1 species